rnacentral:tRNA from 1 species
AGCUUUAUAGUCAAUAUAAUGAUUUAAAAUUGCAAAUUUUAAGUAAUAAUAAAUUAAAUUAUUAAGGCUU